rnacentral:rRNA from 5 species
CACUGCCGAGAAAAGCCUCUAGAUAGAAAAUAGGUGCCCGUACCGCAAACCGACACAGGUAGUCAAGAUGAGAAUUCUAAGGUGAGCGAGCGAACUCUCGUUAAGGAACUCGGCAAAAUGACCCCGUAACUUCGGGAGAAGGGGUGCUCUUUAGGGUUAACGCCCAGAAGAGCCGCAGUGAAUAGGCCCAAGCGACUGUUUAUCAAAAACACAGGUCUCUGCUAAACCGUAAGGUGAUGUAUAGGGGCUGACGCCUGCCCGGUGCUGGAAGGUUAAGAGGAGUGGUUAGCUUCUGCGAAGCUACGAAUCGAAGCCCCAGUAAACGGCGGCCGUAACUAUAACGGUCCUAAGGUAGCGAAAUUCCUUGUCGGGUAAGUUCCGACCCGCACGAAAGGCGUAACGAUUUGGGCACUGUCUCAACGAGAGACUCGGUGAAAUCAUAGUACCUGUGAAGAUGCAGGUUACCCGCGACAGGACGGAAAGACCCCGUGGAGCUUUACUGUAGCCUGAUAUUGAAAUUCGGCACAGCUUGUACAGGAUAGGUAGGAGCCUUUGAAACGUGAGCGCUAGCUUACGUGGAGGCGCUGGUGGGAUACUACCCUAGCUGUGUUGGCUUUCUAACCCGCACCACUUA